UGCGUAGGCGGUGCGGUAAGUUGGGUGUGAAAGCCCUCGGCUCAACCGAGGAAUUGCGCCCAAAACUGCCGUGCUGGAGGGAGACAUAGGUGAGCGGAACUUAGGGUGGAGCGGUGAAAUGCGUUGAGAUCCUAAGGAACACCAGUAGCGAAAGCGGCUCACUGGGUCUUUCUGACGCUGAAGCACGAAAGCUAGGGGAGCGAAGAGGAUUAGAUACCCUCGUAGUCCUAGCCGUAAACCAUGAGCACCGGUUUGGAGGCUCCUCCAUAGGCUUCCAGACGUAGCGAAAGUGUUAAGUGCUCCGCCUGGGGAGUAUGGUCGCAAGGCUGAA
rnacentral:rRNA from 1 species